UAUGAAAUAAUAGACUCACUGAGGAAGC
rnacentral:piRNA from 1 species